rnacentral:rRNA from 1 species
UACGGGAUAGCUAUUAGAAAUGAUAGGUAAUACCGUAUAUUCCCUACGGGGGAAAGAUUUAUUGCUAUCAGAUGAGCCUGCGUUAGAUUAGCUUGUUGGUGGGGUAAUGGCCCACCAAGGCUAUGAUCUAUAGCUGGUCUGAGAGGACGAUCAGCCACACUGGAACUGAGAUACGGUCCAGACUCCUACGGGAGGCAGCAGUGGGGAAUAUUGGACAAUGGGCGAAAGCCUGAUCCAGCCAUGCCGCAUGAGUGAAGAAGGCCUUAGGGUUGUAAAACUCUUUUAAUGGGGAAGAUAAUGACGGUACCCAUAGAAAAAGUCCCGGCAAACUCCGUGCCAGCAGCCGCGGUAAUACGGAGGGGGCGAGCGUUGUUCGGAAUUAUUGGGCGUAAAGGGCACGUAGGCGGUUUAGUAAGUUAAAAGUGAAAUACCAAGGCUCAACCUUGGAAUUGCUUUUAAUACUGCUAAACUAGAGUUCGGA